rnacentral:lncRNA from 1 species
GGAAACUGGAUGUUCUCCUAAAACAGCCACCUAGCCAAGCUGAACCAACAGAGAUGUAUUGAUCACCGGGUCAAUGGAACUAGGUGGGUGCUGGGGGGAAAGUCAGCAGGUAAGUCAGGUGAGGACUGCCUCCCUUCCACUCCCCACCCAGAGACUGAAGACAGACAGACAGACAGAGGCGUUCAUUCAGAAAGAAGUAGGAGGGCUUCAGGGAUUCAGCGGAGGAGACUGAAAGCCUGAGAGACGAUGCCUCUGAGAAGGUUACAGGAACCUGACAAGACUGACUAGCCAUCUCUAGCAUUCAGAUAGGUGGAACUUCAUUGUGCUGAAGUUAUGUUUGAGCACCCUCUGCUGGACAAAUCAGAUGUGAGCGAGCAGUCUCCUUCCUGCUGCUGCAGCUGCAAGCUGCUCCUGCCGCCCAUGCCUUCUCUACUGCCAUGCCUUCCCUACCACAAGGGCCAGAACUCUCACACUGAAAGCCAGAAUAAAUCCUUCCUCUCUUCGGUUGGUUGUUGUCAGGAGAAGGCAGCAGCUGGCAUCAAUGGUGUGGUGAGGAGAGAAUCAAGUUUCCUUCUCCAGUUCAAACAGACGAAAGUGAAGCGACAUAGGCUCAAGGACAGGGUCACUGGGCUAGCGCCACACCAUGGAGCCAAACCCCGAGCCUUCUAAAUUGUGAGCUGGGCAUGGUGGUUCACCCCAGGAAUCGCAGCACUGAGGGAUGAAGGCGAGAGAGUCACUGUGGGUGUGACAUCAGUCUGGCCUGAAGUCUGAGACUGUUUUUUUAAAAAGAAAACAUUUUUUUAUGUCAUAUAUUUAAUUAUAUAAAGAUUCUGUUGUUUUGUUGUUGUUGUUGUUAAAAUUCAGCCAGGAAAUUUCCAUCUGUCUGGUGUUAAUUGGUUGUUUUUCAGCACUAAUUGGGAAAUGAUAUAUUUUUAUUGUUUUAUAAAUAGAGUAAAACCCCUCAGAAACUGCUGGGGAAAUUUAAACAAGGAAAGCAAUUCUAUGUCCUUGCUUGACACCAGUUUGUCCCAGAGGUGACACAACUGUGUAGUUUUUGAAAACACUGGGCAUUUAUAUAUAUAUGAGACAAAACCCCACUGUAUAGCCCUGGCUAACUCGAAACUCACUAUGUAAAUCAGGCUGGGCUUUGACACACAGAGCUCUGCCUUUGCCUACUCAGUGUUGGGAUUUAACACCCACACCACCAUAGCCAGCCUUCUCUCCAAGGGGCAAAUUUCUUUCUGAAGCAACUUCCUCAUUUAUUAACAGUAUUGCUUCCAGACCCCGUGUGUGUGUGUGUGUGUGUGUGUGUGUGUGUGUGUGUGUGUACAGAUAUGUGUUUGCAAGUAUUUAGACACAAGUUGAUGCAGACUACACCAGUUUCAUGAAAUUGUUCCCAUGUCAGUGGCUAGUCUGAGCCUUUUGUACUUGUAAACAGCUGGCUGUAAACUGGGGAUUCCCAUACUCUCCUCUUCAGCCCCAUAAUUAUCAUGGUGAUUUGCAACCUGUAGGUAAUGACCCGUUUGGCUCAUAUAUCAGAUAUUCUGCAUGUCAGAUAUUUAUAUUUUGAUUCAUAACAAUAGUAAAAUUAUAGUUAUGAAGUAGUAAUGUAAAUAGUUACACUGUGGGGGUCACCACAACACGAGGAACUGUGUUAAAUGGCUUCAGCAAUAGGAAGGUUGAGAGCCACUGAUUUAUUAGGUCAUUUCAUGGAUCGUGGGGAUGCUUUCUACUUUCAUCUAUUGUUUAUUACAAAAGAUGUAGACAGACAGAUAGAUAGACAGACUCACAGAUAAAUAGAAAAAUAGAUGACAGAAAGAUAGAAAGUUAGGUAAAAAGAUAAAAAGAUAGGUAGAUGCUAGAAAGAUAGAUAGACUCAAAGACAAAUAGAAAGAUAGAUAAUAGAGAAAGGUGGAAAGAAAAAUAGAUAGAUGAUGGAAAGAUAGGUAGAUAGACUGACAGAAUGA